rnacentral:rRNA from 1 species
GACGAACGCUGGCGGCGUGCUUAACACAUGCAAGUCGAACGGAGUGGCGAACGGGUGAGUAACCCGUGGGUGAUCUGCCUUGCACUUCGGGAUAAGCUUGGUAAACUGGGUCUAAUACCGGAUAGUGCAAGAUGAGCUCGCGGCCUAUCGGCUUGUUGGUGGGGUAAUGGCCUACCAAGGCGUCGACGGGGAGCCGGCCUGAGAGGGUGUACGGCCAAAUUGGGACUGAGAGACGGCCCAGAAUGCUACGGGAGGCAGCAGGGGGGAAUAUUGCACAAUGGGCGGAAGCGUGAUGCAGAGGCGCCGCGGGGGGGAUGAAGGCCUUCGGGUUGUAAACUCCUUUCGACAGGGACGCGGUACCUGUAUAAGAAGCACCGACUAACUACGUGCCAGCAGCCGCGGUAAUAC